GACGAAGGAUGCAAGCGUUAUCCGGAUUCAUUGGGUUUAAAGGGUGCGUAGGCGGACUUGUAAGUCAGUGGUGAAAUCUCUCAGCUUAACUGAGAAACUGCCAUUGAUACUGCAGGUCUAGAGUAUAGAUGACGUUGGCGGAAUAUGACAUGUAGUGGUGAAAUACUUAGAUAUGUCAUAGAACACCGAUUGCGAAGGCAGCUAACGAAACUAUAACUGACGCUGAGGCACGAAAGUGCGGGGAUCAAACAGG
rnacentral:rRNA from 1 species